CCCCUAGAUGUUCUGGGCCGCACGCGCGCUACACUGAACAGUUCAACAAGUCUUAACCUUGGCCGAUAGGUCUGGGUAAUCUUUGAACGCUGUUCGUGAUUGGGAUAGACCUUUGCAAUUAUGGGUCUUCAACGAGGAAUUCCUAGCAAACGCAAGUCAUCAGCUUGCAUUGAUUACGUCCCUGCCCUUUGUACACACCGCCCGUCGCACCUACCGAUUGAAUGGUCCGGUGAAAUCUCGGGACGGCGGCUUGGUCGCUUGCGUCCGACUGCUGAAACUUGAUUAAACCAUAUCAUUUAGAGGAAGGUGAAGUCGUAACA
rnacentral:rRNA from 1 species